rnacentral:tRNA from 1 species
GCGGGAAUAGCUCAGUGGUAGAGCGCUACCUUGCCAAGGUAGAUGUCGUGGGUUCGAGCCCCAUUUCCCGCUCCA